GUACCUGUUGCUUUGUCACUUGUCUUUCAUCACUUGCCUGUUGCCACAGGACUUUGAGGAGGUAAAAUGGUAAAAUGAUGAUGUCCUUUGAUUCGUGCGUAAAUUGGAUUUAAGCGAGGCAGAGUUACAUGAAGUCAUAUGCCUCACUCUCUCCUCCAGAAUCAUCACAGUCCAGUAGCAGGACAGACUCAAGACAACUGGUGAUGGCUCAAGAUGCAGUGGAUGACCUUGGCAUCUUCAAUGUCUAACCAAACUUUAAGCACUCCACAGUGCCUGCUCCAGCUGCUUUCAUGGCCAUUGGAACAACUUGUUCUCAUCCUCCCAUUCUACCAGGGGAAGUCUUCACAUGCUUGAGCAGCAGGGGCAGCGCCACCAGCAGCUGGGGCAGCAGAGCCAGCACUGGUAGCAACAGCGACAGCACCACCGGCAGCCAUGGAGGCCAGCUUACUGCUCCCCUGGCCAAUCACAUCUUCUAUGUUCUUGCUACUCAGCUCACUGCCGACCUUCUUCAGCCACUCCUUGUCCAUCUCAAUGCCCAUGCUGUCCAAGAUCUUUAACAGGUCCUUGGAGUUAGGGGAAUCAUUGCCGCUGAAGACAGCCAGGAGGUAGGCUGCCACACAGUGCAUCUCAGCCAUCUAGGCUCUACUCAGGUCCGGUCCAGUGGUUGUGGCCUAGCACCGCAGAAACGGCGGGAGUGUCAUUGGGCGCAGCAAGUCCAACCUCAGCAGAGUCGAGGCCAGGAAAAAAAAGCAAUGAUGAACAUAUUCGCACAUCAUCAUACACACUCCAUCCCUCCAGUUUCUUCUUCUGAACCUCCAAUUACCAUUGUUGGUACCAAUUUAAACAGUUACCAUUGUUCAAACUCUGUUCUCCAUCCUUCAUCGAUUGUUCCCUUUUUUCCUUCUCCCUCAAUCUAACCCUCCCCACCCCAACCUCCCACUCUGCAGUUACUCAACUUUAUUUCCACUGUGCCCUCUGAAAUAUCUAUUCCAUAGGCAACCAUCUAGAUUUUACCUUAACUCUUUUCUUUUUGUGCCCCUUCUAUCUUCUUGCACCCCAUGUGUCUGCCUCCUGAUGAUACAACUUUCCUGGCUGCUCUUUCCGGCAUUGGUUGCGCUUUCAUUCACACGCCCCC
rnacentral:lncRNA from 1 species